UUUAAAAUAUGAUGAAUUCAAUACCGCCCCAGUCUGAUCAUGGUGACUGAAGGGUAUUUCUGAACUAGG